rnacentral:rRNA from 1 species
GAGUUUGAUCAUGGCUCAGAUUGAACGCUGGCGGCAGGCCUAACACAUGCAAGUCGAGCGGAUGAAGGGAGCUUGCUCCUGGAUUCAGCGGCGGACGGGUGAGUAAUGCCUAGGAAUCUGCCUGGUAGUGGGGGAUAACGUCCGGAAACGGGCGCUAAUACCGCAUACGUCCUGAGGGAGAAAGUGGGGGAUCUUCGGACCUCACGCUAUCAGAUGAGCCUAGGUCGGAUUAGCUAGUUGGUGGGUAAAGGCCUACCAAGGCGACGAUCCGUAACUGGUCUGAGAGGAUGAUCAGUCACACUGGAACUGAGACACGGUCCAGACUCCUACGGGAGGCAGCAGUGGGGAAUAUUGGACAAUGGGCGAAAGCCUGAUCCAGCCAUGCCGCGCGUGUGAAGAAGGUCUUCGGAUUGUAAAGCACUUUAAGUUGGGAGGAAGGGCAGUAAGUUAAUACCUUGCUGUUUUGACGUUACCAACAGAAUAAGCACCGGCUAACUUCGUGCCAGCAGCAC